GUGGCAGGCAGCAGGGGUAGGGAUUUUCAUUUACUUUUAUUACAUGGAAGCUUUACUCCAUCACAUCAGCCUGCCCUUCAGGGAUAAUUAGGGAAAAGUAUUUCUUAUUUUUCCUCCGUUGAAGGAGUAGGUUUAAUUUUGCAGCCAGGCCUUCAGCUGGUGAAAGAGACCAAGCAGAGCUGAAGACUAAUAGACCAUUGUUGCUGUAAUAGAGAUGUAGAAAAGGGACCAUGGAAGUGUUUCAGGCUUGCCAUAAUGCAAAUGUAAUAACCUUCAACAUAAG